UUUCCGUAGGUGAACCUGCGGAAGGAUCAUUAUUGUCUAACGGAGGCGCGAGGGCUGUCGCUGCCCCAAAAGGUCGUGCACGCCCGAGUGCCCUCACAAACAUCCAUCUCACCCCCAUGUGCACCACCGCGUGGGUCCCCCUUUGGCUUGUUCGGAGGGGGGCUUACGUUUUCACACAAACUUUGUAUGCAGUGUAGAAUGUAUUUUUUGUUUUUGCGAUCACGCAAUCAAUACAACUUUCAACAACGGAUCUCUUGGCUCUC
rnacentral:misc_RNA from 1 species